AAAAAUCAAAAUGCGUGUCAAGUCAUAUCAAUAAGGUUAGCAGAAACUCUUUUUGCUUUGCACUAGAAGAAAUGAACCCCAAUACAUACAUGAUUUUCAUCAAAGUAGUUCGAUUUUGGAUAUUAAGCCCAUCUCUUAUUCACUGUACGUAUGUGUGUUUUUUCCAUAGGAAGUUUAUUUGAAGAAGAGUAACAAAUUGAAAGAUAAGUUGGAUGAUAAAAAAUUGAAAACCGGAACAUAUGAUCAAUGGAUUUAACUAAACCAAUAUUUCAGCACAGAUAUAUAUAUGUGUCACCAAAAUUUCAACAGAUAUUAAAUUCUUAACCCAUAAUUUCAAAAGUAUAAUGGGUUCAGUGGUAUAACUCAAAAGGUUGAAAUUAUCAAAUUUAAAUUUUCGAUCCGCCACGUUAUCUUGGAGACUUGCAUAGAGAAAGCUGAGAAAAUGUGUUUCUAAAGCUUCGUUUUUCCUUAUUCUUCUUCUUCUUGAAGUUGACAUCUGCAGAGGACUUGGGAUUACGCAAAACACAAACAUCGCCAUUGCAGACAAAUCGGCUGGACUCUGAGUUGGACGACUCAGAGAAGCAACUACAGAAAUUGAACAAAGCCAUAGACACGGAUCAAAUCUUGGCUAUAUUUCUGUUUUUUGGGGUGUAUUUCUAAUGAAAUGAGGGGUCUUGUGGAAUAAUAGGCAAUAUAUAUA
rnacentral:lncRNA from 1 species